GGUCAAGAAGGACCUCCAAAGAUCUCCAAAGAGGUGGAUGAGGUUGAUGGAGAUGUCCCCCCUGCUGAAGCAACCUACGAGAAUCUACAGAGAGGAACCGACGAUCUGGACUCAGUUUACGAGAACCUCCGGCGUUAAAUAAAAUGCUUUUACACACAUGCA